AUUGAACGCUGGCGGCAUGCCUUACACAUGCAAGUCGAACGGCAGCAUGGAAGAGCUUGCUCUUCUGAUGGCGAGUGGCGAACGGGUGAGUAAAGCAUCGGAACGUACCGUGUAAUGGGGGAUAACGUAGCGAAAGUUACGCUAAUACCGCAUACGACCUGAGGGUGAAAGCAGGGGAUCGCAAGACCUUGCGUAAUACGAGCGGCCGAUGUCAGAUUAGCUAGUUGGUGGGGUAAAGGCUCACCAAGGCGACGAUCUGUAGCGGGUCUGAGAGGAUGAUCCGCCACACUGGGACUGAGACACGGCCCAGACUCCCACGGGAGGCAGCAGUGGGGAAUUUUGGACAAUGGGGGCAACCCUGAUCCAGCCAUGCCGCGUGAGUGAAGAAGGCCUUCGGGUUGUAAAGCUCUUUCGGCCGGGAAGAAAUCGCACAGGCUAAUACUCUGUGUGGAUGACGGUACCGGCAUAAGAAGCACCGGCUAACUACGUGCCAGCCGCCGCCGUAA
rnacentral:rRNA from 1 species